UCCACCUUUCACCAUGUUUCCUGCUGCUCUGCUGCUGCUGGCAGCUGCAUUUAGUGUGAAGUGUGAACGGCUGACACAGCCAGACUCUGUGACUGUGCAGCCAGGUCAGCGUCUGACCGUCACCUGUCAGACCUCUUAUUCUGUGGGCAACCACCACACACACUGGAUCAGACAACCUGCAGGGAAAGAACUGGAGUGGAUCGGAGCUGCACGUGUUGGAUACAACACAAUCUACAAAGAUUCACUGAAGAACAAGUUCGGUAUCAGCUUAGACUCUUCCACAAACACAGUGAGUCUACAGGGACAGAACCUGCAGCCUGAAGACUCUGCUGUUUAUUACUGUGCCAGACAGUCACAGUGA